UUUACGCAGUUUACGAGACCUAAAAGCACUUCUCCCAGUCAUGUGAUUGUUUUGGUUUCUUCAGAUGUGUGCUGUCUGUCGCUGGCAAGUCUGCUAAUGUAAAAGCCUGAAAAUUAGCUGGAACACAGAGUCCACUGCUUGGACUCUGCUCCUCAAACAGAUGUGUUUAACGAAAAAUAAAUUAACAAAAAGCCAGGACCCCCUAACCCUUACAUGCCAAGCUAUGCCUCCAGAAAAUCAAACUUGAACAAUGAAGAACAAAAUGAAACUUUACAUGACAAACAAUGAAAAGAAAAAAAGGGAGAACAACCACUUUAUCUUUAACCUUUUUCCUUUCCAAGGGACAGAACCAGGAAGCUCCGCCUAUACUGCAAAAACCAGCCAAUCACAGCGCUGGCUGAUAUUUGAUGAGUUUUAUCAUCUCUGUUUACUGUUAAAGACUCACCUAAUGCUGACGGAACUGGUGUGACAUCACUUCCUGUCUGGUGGUUGUGGUAGUUGAGGGGGGCGGGGCACAUGUGGGCUCACUUCCUAUUCAAGCGGGUUAUGGGGUGGGGGGGGGUCAGAUAACGUGAGAAGGGAGUCGGACACUUCGUCAAGCCCCUUCCUCCUCGGUUACUCGACCCGGUGCAAGGCGAGGGACGACCUGACAGGAAAUGACAUCACGAGGUUGAAUGGGGCGGAGGAGAGGAAAGGAGGGAUGGGGAAAAAAGACUAAUUUCUUCAGUAUUUCUUCUAUCGAUUACUUCUCCUUCUUGUUCUUCUUCGGACAUUGGAGCUUGGUUCUUCUGUUGCAUUCGCUCAGCCUCCUUUGAUCUUUUUCGGAGUCCAAAAUUUGAUGGAAACCUGCAUGAUUGAUUAAUUACAUACUAGAGAGGAAAUCUAACUGGUGUGGGUGGGACCUGGGGGCUUUAUAGGAAACUUUGCAUUCAGGUUUACAAAAGAAGUUCACUUCUAUCAGACUCUCUCCCUCUCUGACAUCUCAAAUGGAAUUUUCGUUUAGUUUUGACCAAAAACAGACUUUGACGGUCGGCUAUUUCUUUUUUCUCCGUUUUCUGCCGAUAUAGUGGUCAAAAAAUAUGUUUCCACAACCUGUUUGAAGACAGGAAACACUGUAGGAUCACAUUUGAGUUUCCUGUUGUGCUUGUAAAAAACAAGAGGGAGAAAGAGUGGACAGAAGCGGACUUCUACCACACUUUAUUUAUUAUUGUUAAUGAUGAUAGUCUAAUGAAUAAUGAUAUCAACGUCAAUGCAAAAUGACAAUGAUAGUGAUACUGAUGACUGAAUGAUUGAUUGAUUGAUUGAUGGAACUGUUGCUGUAGAUUUGUUGUCAUGUUAUUUGGAGUUUAAGUAUGCUAUGUCCAUCUUGUUUACAUCAGUUAUGUUAUAAUCCCCCCGUUCAAUGACGUUUACCGGGUUCCUGAUGCCUUCCUGCAACGUUUCGGGGCAACAAUGGCUUGGUAACAUUCACUUAGCAGCGUUGCGUGUUGUAACGCAACUCUUAAGAUAAGAGGUCAGAGGAGCUUCAGAACCUGACUUCCAAUGAUUCAUUGGGUCAGUACUCUUGUUAAGCCAACCCAAAGAUCAAGAAUUCAUGUUCAAAGAGAGGGGCAGACCAAAUCAUUGAGAAUGUGGACAAGUUUGCCUGCAUUUUACACUGCAGAGUUUUACUGAAGUUAAAGUUCUACCAAGGUUGAAUUUUUCCACUUUUAGCCAACUACAAAUCCCAUUUUUUCCCUCUAUCUGGCUUCGACGUCUUGUAGUGCGAUAGGUUGCCGGCAGUAACAGCACAGUAUUGUUGGUUCAGUGUUGGUGUCAAUAUUAAGUGGUGUUGUUCUCUAUUUUUGCCACCAGGGGGCAUUUAUAAGCGCACAUUAUCCGCCCUGCCUUCCCUCUCUACAGGACAGCCUCCGGGCCACAUCCUGUUUUCUAGACCUGGAGUGAAACCACCUCUUGUCUCUUAUAGUAUAUAUAUAGAUAAACGUCCAGUCCUAGUCAGGGAACAUGGAUGUAGCCUGAGAGACGCCAUAUCUGUCCGUUUGUUUGGCCCGUCCUUCUGUCUGCCUGUCUGUGCCAAUGCUGACCCUCCCCCUCCAAACCCUUCUCUCAGGUCUGGAUAACCAGAGAACAGUCACCAAAAUCACCAAUCCAAUCAAAUGAGGUUGUAGCAAAGUUGAAACCUCCUCCGCCAAAAGCCACUUCAGUACCCAAUCAACCUCUUUUCGAUCUUUUUCUGUCCAUUUGCUUUGACGUCUGUUCUUUCAGCUUGCCAGAGAGCAACACAAAAAGCAUUAUAGGACAGAAACACUUAGUAUAGUAUUUGCAUCCUUAUUGUUAUGAGGGACAACAAUUAUUGAAUAUUACAAUAACUCUAGGACAAGAUGAUAAAGUAUAGAUAAAUAUAGAUGAUAAACUACAUAUAAAUCUAGAUAUAAUAUAGUAGAUGUAGUUAUAGAUAACAGACAGAGCGUAGAGUUUCACACAUUUAUUUCUUUUGCAUACCGUUCAUGCUCAUGACACGGUUGACGAUCUCGCUACUCUUGAAACCUUUUACUGUUUUCUUCGCAGUCGCAUAAGCCAGAAAAAAGAAAUACCAGUCCACGUGUUUUGACUCUAUGCAGACCUCAUAAGCAUCCUAUCCCAUCCAUACGUAUUCUUUCAGAGAAGAAGCUGCAACGCUGUGGUACUGUAAAAUUGAUUAUUGAAACAGGAGCACAUGGAUCUGGGAAAUUGUGAAGAUGGACCCCUUUCUUUCAUGUACCUUUGUCGCUGUCCCUCUUCCACAUGAUCCCUGUUCUCUCUCCAUCUUUCUCUCCUCUGCCGAAAUGUGUUGCCUCCAGGCCUAGCAGUUGAACAUAGGGUAGUGAAGAUGGGGAGAGGGGUUUUUUGCUUUGGUUGUUGAUUUGUUUUGCGGGAGUCAAAGGGCGCAAACCUGAAACCCCUCUGCCCACACCUCCCAUCGUGAGAGGUCACAGCAGGUGGGGAUGCUUCCCCAAAACCCCCUACAGAGCCACAGUGCCUUCUGUAUCAGAGUCACAUUCAUCACUCCCUAUUCUCCUCGCCCCUAGCCGCUCCCGUCCACCCCGCUCCCCGCCCAUUUCUCUCUGUGGUAGUUGAGAUCAACCACACUACGCCUUAAAAUUUGAGUCCCACCGGCUCCCAUGCUAGCAGGGAGCUAGACUGAGACUGGGCCACGGUGAGGAAAUAGCAGAGGCGCUAGACUUGACGUAGGGACAUUAAUAUCACAUCCGGUAUGGGCUUGGUCACUUAAAACUCACAUUCAAACAUACACAGAUUUUUACACAUACACAGAUAGUUUCCAGAUCUAAAUCUAAAUUGAUUCAUACAGUUUGAAUCAAAGCCUCGUGGUUUUGAUUUUCAAAGACUCAAAUGGUUGUUGGAGAUGUACCGGAUGUUGAUAGCAAGCUAGCUCUCUUGGCUUCACCUCCCUGUUUGGCGUGGCAUUUUGUGUCCAUCCCAGAAAUGUCGAGGGUCCAGUUUCAGGCGGUGUAGUGAGAGGUUUACAGAGGUGCAAAGCAGUUGCUUACUUCUCAGGUCCCGCUAUAGUUAGGUAGCUAGAUAGUUAGACGACGUAGUGAAGAGUCAGCUACAAAACAAGCAGGCCUCGGAUUGAGUUAUUGUAUGGUUUUACAUGGCUUGGCUUCAGACGUUAAUGUAGACCACCCCCCGCUCUUUUCACUAACCUACAUUUCACAUUCUGACCCCUCACGUCCCCAUCAGCAGCCUGCCGACGCACCAACUUCAACACAACGCAAAGCGUGUUGACAGAUAGGGAGGAAAAAAAACACCUCCAUUUUGGCUCCAUGACACCACUCGCUUGUCCAGAAUUGUAACAGCAGAUCCAAAAUGGCCGACACACAACACUGCCCUUGUGUGUAAGCAUGUUGUGUGUGCUUUUCCAAGAACAAAUCCCAUACUUUGGCAAAAAAAGGGAACAUCUAAUCAUUUUUCUUUCUUUGUUUUUGUUGUCUGGUUUUUUUGAACGGGGUUUGGGGGGGAUUUCAAAGUUUUUGCUCAGUCAUUGCUUCUCAUUUGCUUUCAGUGUCUUCACCCCCGGCUUCUGUCACCCAUUGGUCUUAAACUCCACCUAUUCUUUUAUUUCUUCUUCUUCGUUAUGGGACGAAGGAAAAACUAACAAAACGCACCAAACCAUCCACUCAGCCGGCUGUGAAAUUGUGUCAGUGGGUCAGUCGUGAGGCAACGCGUCGACAAAAACACGAAUAAGGGCUCUCUUUAAAAACAAAAACAAAAACAAAACUACACAGUGGGUUUUAAUGUACAGUAGUGCUGCCAAAACUUGUGCUUAUGUAGCUGAAGCCACGCUGUGGUCUCCCCUUUGUACAGCACUAUGUGUGUGCAUGCGUGUGUGUGUGUGUGUGUGUAGGGGGUCAAGAGCGAGGCGGGGAGGGAGGGGCGGGAGGGUCAAAAGACAAUGACAGAGAUUUUUUGAAGUAGGGGUCCUGUUGGGGGUUGGGGGAGGAGUUUGGGGGGGUGGGGGGCAGCAGAGUUUGUAGUGAUGUUAACACAAUUUCACAAUGGCACUGGACCACUUUUCGGGCACAUCCUCAUGCUCAGAAGCCAUUUUGUCACCGUCACCCCACCCACUCCUGGUCCCACUGUGAGGGGGGCGGGUCUACUGCUGCGACAGGGAGACAUUCACUAUGUGUGUUGGUGUCCGUGAGACUGUGUACGUGUGUGUGCGGUUGUUUUUAGUGGUGUGAGAGUGUGUCUAGGGCUAAAACUGAUUUCUGAUAUUUUAUAUAUUAUUUAUUUUACAGAAUAAUCUAGGAAUAUUUAUAAUUAUUUUAUUUUUUGGGAUAACGGGUGUAUAUUAGCUGUUGAGGUUAAACCCUGCACAUUUGGUUUCAAAAUGGCAAUAAGAUAUAAUUACAUUUUUCCCCAAGGAAAGUUUUGCACCCAAAAUGGUCAAUAUACAUAGCAUGUUUCAAAAUGUCAAAAUGUAAUCACAUUUAAGUAAAAGUAGAAAAAACUAAUAAAUAGGGAUGCUUAAAUGAAAUUGCAGGUCAUGGUUACUACAAAGAUACAAGCAAUGAAAAAACUGCACAGAAAAGUAUGUGUAUCACUAUAUUAGUAUGAACCUGCUUGCACAUUAGUGUCAUUAUUGUGCACCACCACCCUCUGCAUAUAAACAGUUCUAAAUCAAAUGAGAAAUGAUUUAAAAAUCCAAAGACAUUAAAUGAUAUCAAACAGUAACAGUUUUUUGGUAACGACUUAAUCAAUUAGUGCCAUUGUUUUGUUUUCCGUGGGCUGAUUAAUCAAUCGAUCAAUAAAUUGACUAAUCGUUUUAGCAAUAUGUGUGUUUGUGUGUCUAAGAGGAAGAUAUGUGAGUGAGUGGACUUGUCAGUUUGUCAUUUGUUAUUGUGUGUGUGUGUGUGUGUGUGUUUGUGUGUGUGUGUGUGUGUGUGUGUGUGUGUGUGUGUGAGACGUUUAGUUUACAGCUCUGGCUGUACAUUUUCACAGGAAGUGGAGUGAAGGAGGAGCAGAGGAGAGGAAACAGGAUAAAGACAGGAAGGAUGGAGCUGGACAGGACAGGGUGGGAUUGAGAGAACCCCAACAGGAAUAGAGACAAAUGGGUGGGAGAGGAAGGAAAGCUGUAAAGAGAGAACAUGCGAACCGUACUGGAGGAUGUGCUGAGCAUGCAGGUUUCUUUUUCCCCAGCAACACUCUCCAUUGAUCUACUCUGGAUUCUGAUUCAUUUUUUUUAAUGAGAGCUCUAUAAUGUCCAGAUGAUUUAUCAUCCUCUCUCAGAUUUUCAUUUCCUUUGAUUGACAAACGGAUAAAAGGGAGAAGUUUCUAGGUCUGUGAUUCGGAAGGUUUAGAAAUCCUCAUCAUUAAAGGUUUUUCACAAGAUCAUAAAAACGUAGACUUUUAACAUUAAAACACAUAACUAUGAUCAUCUUUGUUUGACCAUUAAAAAGCCUUUUCAAAGCUUUCAACUGCAACUGUUGGUUAUUUAUUUGGCAAACAAUUGUUCCCUUUUCAAGAACAAACUCUCACAGUCCAAAUCAAAAUUGUUAAAUAGGGCAAAACCUUUCUGUACCACUGUGGCUUUCUAUACCACACUGGAAGCGUAAAAACACCCAUUACUGUAAGUCUCACUACAAAGACAGAAAUAGAAUUCUUAUUUUUGAUGAAAAUUCAUUCUUAAAUGUAGACAGUAGUUGAUAAAACUACUUUACUAAGUCCAUUUUGAUGCUGUUCAGGACCU